AUGGAGCCUGACAUCUUGGAAUGUGAAGUCAAGUGGGUCUUAGAAAGCAUCACUACGAACAAAGCUAGUGGAGGUGAUGGAAUUCCAGUUGAGCUGUGUCAAAUCCUGAAAGAUGAUGCUGUGAAAGUGCUGCACUCAAUAUGCCAGCAAGUUUGGAAAACUCAGCAGUGGCCACAGGACUGGAAAAGGUCAGUUUUCAUUCCAAUCCCAAAGAAAGGCAAUGCCAAAGAAUGCUCAAACUACCACACAGUUGCACUCAUCUCACACGCCAGUAAAGUAAUGCUCAAAAUUCUCCAAGCCAGGCUUCAGCAAUACGUGAACCAUGAACUCCCUGAUGUUCAAGCUAGUUUUAGAAAAGGCAGAGGAACCAGAGAUCAAAUUGCCAACAUCCGCUGGAUCAUGGAAAAAGCAAGAGAGUUCCAGAAAAACAUCUAUUUCGGCUCUAUUGACUAUGCCAAAGCCUUUGACUGUGUGGGUCACAAUAAACUGUGGAACAUUCUGAAAGCGAUGGGAAUACCAGACCACCUGACCUGCCUCUUGAGAAAUGUGUAUGCAGGUCAGGAAGCAACAGCCAAAACUGGACAUGGAACAACAGACUGGUUCCAAAUAGGAAAAGGAGUACGUCAAGGCUGUAUAUUGUCACCCUGCUUAUUUAGCUUAUAUGCAGAGUACAUCAUGAGAAACGCUGGGCUGGAAGAAACACAAGCUGGAAUCAAGAUUGCCGGGAGAAAUAUCAAUAACCUCAGAUAUGCAGAUGACACCACUCUUAUGGCAGAAAGUGAAGAGGAACUAAAAAGCCUCUUGAUGAAAGUGAAAGAGGAGAGCAAAAAAGUUGGCUUAAAGCUCAACAUUCAGAAAACGAAGAUCAUGGCAUCCGGUCCCAUCACUUCAUGGGAAAUAGAUGGGGAAACAGUGGAAACAGUGUCAGACUUUAUUUUGGGGGGCUCGAAAAUCAGUGCAGAUGGUGACUGCAGCCAUGAAAUUAAAAGACACUUACUCAUUGGAAGAAAAGUUAUGACCAAUCUAGAUAGUAUAUUCAAAAGCAGAGACAUUACUUUGCCGACUAAGGUCCAUCUAGUCAAGGCUAUGGUUUUUCCUGUGGUCAUGUAUGGAUGUGAGAGUUGGAUUGUGAAGAAGGCUGAGCACUGA
rnacentral:lncRNA from 1 species